rnacentral:rRNA from 1 species
AUUGAACGCUGGCGGUAUGCUUAACACAUGCAAGUCGAACGGUAACAGGCCUAGCUUGCUAGGUGCUGACGAGUGGCGGACGGGUGAGUAACGCGUGGGAAUCUGCCUUAUUGUGGGGGAUAACCUGGGGAAACUCAGGCUAAUACCGCAUGAGCCCUAAGGGGAAAGGAUGGGACCGAAAGGCCAUUCGCGAUAAGAUGAGCCUGCGUUGGAUUAGCUAGUUGGUGGGGUAAAGGCCUACCAAGGCGAGGAUCCAUAGCUGGUCUGAGAGGACGAUCAGCCACACUGGGACUGAGACACGGCCCAGACUCCUACGGGAGGCAGCAGUGGGGAAUAUUGGACAAUGGGGGCGAACCCUGAUCCAGCAAUACCGCGUGUGUGAAGAAGGCCUGCGGGUUGUAAAGCACUUUCAGUGGGGAGGAAGAAGCUCGGUGCUAAUAGUAUCGAGUUGAGACGUUACCCACAGAAGAAGCACCGGCUAACUCUGUGCCAG